rnacentral:rRNA from 1 species
GGGAAUAUUGCGCAAUGGGCGAAAGCCUGACGCAGCGACGCCGCGUGAGGGAUGACGGCCUUCGGGUUGUAAACCUCUGUCGCGAGGGACGAAGCUCUGACGGUACCUCGAAAGGAAGCACCGGCUAACUCUGUGCCAGCAGCCGCGGUAAUACAGAGGGUGCGAGCGUUGUCCGGAAUCACUGGGCGUAAAGGGCGCGUAGGCGGCUUGGUAAGUCGGGGGUGAAACGCUGCGGCUCAACCGCAGCACUGCCUUCGAGACUGUCAGGCUUGAGCAUGGUAGAGGCUGGUGGAAUUCCCGGUGUAGCGGUGGAAUGCGUAGAGAUCGGGAAGAACAUCGGUGGCGAAGGCGGCCAGCUGGGCCGUUGCUGACGCUGAGGCGCGACAGCGUGGGGAGCAAACAGGAUUAGAUACCCUGGUAGUCCACGCCGUAAACGAUGGGUACUAGGCGUCGGGGGGGAGCGACCCCCUCGGUGCCGUCGCUAACGCAGUAAGUACCCCGCCU